AUAGCCUGGUGGAUUAUGAAGGGGAAAAUUUCUAUCAGACCUGAUAAAGUGCCUGCUUGGUAUUCAGCAGUAAAAUUUCUCCUGGAAUAUCAAGCCAAUGCAAUAAGUCUCUCAUCCUGACUUGUGUUGAACAGAAUCUCUCUUACAGGGUGUUGAUUUGUAGGCUUGAUGCUACUCUGAAAGAGGGAGAGCUGCCUGUAAACAAUGGUGGGAUUUAAGAGCGACAGUGUAUGACUGAGCACUUCUCUUAAUCCAGUUAAUGGACAAAAAGAGAAGCCUGUAUUAUGUAUUUAAAGGCCUGUUGAGCAGUGUUUUUCUGUUACAGCACACUCUUGUCAUAUCGUUAUGAGCUGAUGUGAGGAGUGUAGCACUGUAUUGACAUCUAGAAGGCGCUAUGACAGAGAGGAGGAACUGACAAGAGGGACACAGAAGGGUGAGGUGCAUGCUUCGCCCCCAUCUGUCUCAGCCUGGUUUCCAGGGCACAUUCUUGUGCUGAUGUGCUGUGCCGCUCAAAGCACAUCAGUGGAGUCCGGAGUGGGGAUGGCACAGCUCGGCUGGGUGAAACCAAACCAGCUGCCGCUACGGAGCUCCAGACAGAAGCAGGAAAGAGGGGGACACAUGUGCAGUUUUAGGCCCAGGUGUCAUAUUUAGACUUUUCGAAUGAGAUUGAAUUGUCAGACAAAUUGAAUUCUAAUUCAUUCAUUGAUUCCAUGCGGACGUCAGCAGCCAUUUUCUGUGUCCAGCGUAGAAAUGGAGGCUGGUUGCUGUGCAGUGGGAGGAACAUUACAUCUGAAGUAAACUGCAAAUAGAGCGAGGAUUACAGCCUUGGUCUUAGAAUAGCACACUCUGCCAGUCUGAACUCAAUUUUCACUCCAUUUAAAGUCUGAUGGCUCUCAGAUAAAGUCUUUACAGCAUGGGGUGCUGCAGGUCAGAGUGGGGACGCCUGUCCACCUGCCGCUAUGAACCUCACACUGACGCAGUAACAUGCCAUGUAGCAUAGGUCAACCCUCUGAGAAAUUCACCUCAUGAGGAUAUCCUUGUCUGUACUCGUUGGUUAGCUAUAUUGGAUCAGUGAUCCUGGCCAAAUUGAUGGUUACUAAUAACUCCUUUACCACAGGUUAAAUUCACCAGAAACACAAGCACUGAACCCAUAUACUAUACACCAACAGAAACCCGAGCUGAAAAAUGCUAUUAUACCUGAACAUAUCUCAUCUGACAAGGAUAUCCUCACCAGUUUCGUCAGUUUGUGUGACUAAUUUGUUUUUUAAAGAGAACUAAAUUCACCAUGAAUUCUA